rnacentral:rRNA from 1 species
AGAGUUUGAUCCUGGCUCAGAGCGAACGCUGGCGGCAGGCCUAAAACAUGCAAGUCGAACGCCGUAGCAAUACGGAGUGGCAGACGGGUGAGUAACACGUGGGAACGUGCCUUUUGGUUCGGAACAACACAGGGAAACUUGUGCUAAUACCGGAUAAGCCCUUACGGGGAAAGAUUUAUCGCCAAAAGAUCGGCCCGCGUCUGAUUAGCUAGUUGGUGGGGUAACGGCCCACCAAGGCUACGAUCAGUAGCUGGUCUGAGAGGAUGAUCAGCCACACUGGGACUGAGACACGGCCCAGACUCCUACGGGAGGCAGCAGUUAGGAAUCUUGGACAAUGGGCGCAAGCCUGAUCCAGCCAUGCCGCGUGAGUGAUGAAGGCCUUAGGGUUGUAAAGCUCUUUCAGCGGGGAAGAUAAUGACGGUACCCGCAGAAGAAGCCCCGGCUAACUUCGUGCCAGCAGCCGCGGUAAUACGAAGGGGGCUAGCGUUGCUCGGAAUCACUGGGCGUAAAGCGCACGUAGGCGGCUUUCUAAGUCAGGGGUGAAAUCCUGGAGCUCAACUCCAGAACUGCCUUUGAUACUGGGAAGCUCGAGUCCGGAAGAGGUGAGUGGAACUCCGAGUGUAGAGGUGAAAUUCGUAGAUAUUCGGAAGAACACCAGUGGCGAAGGCGGCUCACUGGUCCGGUACUGACGCUGAGGUGCGAAAGCGUGGGGGAGCAAACAGGAUUAGAUACCCUGGUAG